UCAGUAACCAGUCUUGUACAGUGUAUUCUUGUAUAGACUGAUAGUCGAAUCUCGAUACAGAUGAGAUGAUAGAUGGGACCUCAGUUGUCACUGUUUCUCUGAUCGACGUUGUCCUUGAUUCAUUUCUGCAAGUUAUCUGUAUUCUAUCUCCCUGCUGACAACUAGUUCCGGAAUUGUGAAGUCGUGAGGGUGCUCAUUGCAAUUGUAGUACCUGUGCACAAGUUGUGAGUGUUCUUUGAACCCUACUUCACUCUUUUGUUAUUUGCAUGCAUUUAGUUGAUGUUCCAUGCUUUGAUUUUAAUCGUAUUGAACCGGUUUAGCUUUGUCGAUGCUACAGUCAUUCUACAAUGAAGGUGAUUGUUUGUAGAACACUAGUUUUAUUCGAUCGUAGGUAAACUGCAGGAUGUAACAACUUUGUACACUUUCUAAAACUGUUGACAUGUUUGUGGUGUUGAUAUAAUUACAAAUUUUCAUUUACUUUGAAUUUUUGAACCAACCUAUUGUUGUUCUGUUAUUCAUUCAACAGAUAAUUGUUCAUCUUCAACAUGUAUGCAAUUAUGACUUCAAAUCAACUUCUUUAGUCACUUGACUUGUGUGCAAGUCAUGCAUUUGAAGAAUGUUGGGUUGGAUUAAAACUUGAAAUCUU
rnacentral:lncRNA from 1 species